rnacentral:snRNA from 1 species
ACAAAUAAGUUCGUAAAACAA